UGAACCUUCAGGUGCCAUCACAAACCCACCAAGAGACCUUUCAGGUGACAUCACAGAGCCACAUUGAGGCACUUCAGGUGACUUCACAGACCACAGAGAGAUACUUCAGGUGUCAUCACAGAGCCACAGAGAGACACUACAGUUGACAUUAAUAAGCCACAGAGAGACGCUUCAAGUGACAUCACAGAGCCACAGUGAGACAAUUCAGGAGACACCACAGAGCAACAGAGUUACCCUUCAAGUGACAUAACAGAGCCACAUAUUGACACUCUUUGUGACAUCACAGAACCAGAGAGAGAUCCUUUGGUGAUAUCACAGAGCAACAGAGACCGCUUCUGCUGAAAUUACAGGGCCACAGAUACACCAUUCAGGUUACAUCACAAAGCCAUUAAGAGACCGUUCAGGUGGCAUCACAGAGCCACAGAGAGACCCUUCAGUUGACUUCACAGAGCCACAGAGAGACACUUCAGGUGUCUUCACACAGCCACAGGAGACACUAAAGAUGACAACACAGAGCCACAGGAGACACUUCAGGUGAUAUCACAGAGCAACACAGAGACACUUCAUUUGUCAUUACAGAGCCACAGAGAGACCCUUCAGGUGACAACACAGAGCCACAUGGAAACACUUCAGGUGGCUUCACAGAGCCACAGAGAGACGCUUCAGGUGUCAUCAUAGAGCCACAGAGAGACACUACAGGUGACAUCACAGAACCACAGGGAGACACUUCAGGUGACAUAACAGAGCCACAGCAAUACCAUUCUUGUGACAUCACAGAAGCAGAGACAGAUCCUUCGGGUGACAUCACAGAGCCACAGAGACAUCUUCUGGUGACAUCACAGAGCCACCGAGACAUCAUUCAGGUAACAUCACAAAGCCUCUAAGGGACUUUACAGGUGACAUAACAGAACCAGAGAGAGAUGCUUUAGGUGACAUCACAGAGCCACAGAGAGACGCUUCAGGUGUCAUCACAGAGCCACAGAGAUGCAAUUCAGGUGACAUCACAGAGCCACAGAGAGAAACUUCAGGUGUCAUCACAGAGCCAUAGAGAGACCCUUCAGGUGUCAUCACAGAGCCACAGAGAUGCAAUUCAGGUGACAUCACAGAGCCACAGAGAGACACUUCAGGUGUCAUCACAGAGCCACAGAGAGACCCUUCAGGUGAUAUCACAGAGCCAUAGAGAGACUUUCAGGUGACAUCACAUAGAAACAGAGAUGCUUCAGGUGACAUCACAGAGCCACAGAGAGACCCUGCAGGUGCCAUCACAGAGCCACAGAGCGACACUUCAGGUGUCAUCACAGAGCCAUAGAGACCCCUUCAGGUGUCAUCACAGAGCCACAGAGUGACCAUUCAUAUGACACCAGAGAUACACAGAGAGACCAUUCAGGUGACAUCAAAGAGCUACCGAGAGACCCUUCAGGUGUCAUCACAGAGCCACAGAGAGACCUUUCAGGUGUCAUCACAGAGCCACAGUGUGAACCUUCAGGUGCCAUCACAAACCCACUAAGAGACCUUUCAGGUGACAUCACAGAGCCACAUUGAGUCACUUCAGGUGACUUCUCAGACCACAGAGAGACACUUCAGGUGUCAUCACAGAGCCACAGAGAGACACUACAGUUGACAUUAAUGAGCCACAGAGAGAUGCUUCAAGUGACAUCACAGAGCCAUAGUGAGACAAUUCAGGAGACACCACAGAGCAACAGAGUUACCCUUCAAGUGACAUCACAGAACCACAUAUUGACACUUUUGGGACAUCACAGAACCAGAGAGAGAUCCUUUGGUGAUAUCACAGAGCAACAGAGACGCCUUCUGGUGACAUUACAGAGCCACAGAUACACCAUUCAGGUUACACCACAAAUCCAUUAAGAGACAAUUAGGUGGCAUCACAGAGCCACAUAGAGACCCUUCAGUUGACUUCACUGAGCCACAGAGAGACCCUUCAUGUGUCUUCACACAGGUACAGAGACACUUCAGGUGACAUCACAGAGACACAGAGAGACCCUUCUGGUGUCACCACAAAGAAGCAGAGAACCCUUCUGGUGACAUCACAGAACAACAGAGAUACCAUUCAGAUGACAUCACAAAGCCUCCAAGAGACCCUUUAGGUGACAUCACAAUACAAGAGAGUGACAUUUCAGGUGACAUCACAGAGCCACCGAGAGAUGCUUCAGGUGAGAUCACAGAUCCACUCAGAGACACUUCAGGUGUCAUCACAGAGCCACAGAGAGACACUUAAGGUGACAACACAGAGCCACAGGAGACACUUCAGGUGACAACACAGAGCAACACAGAGACACUUCAUGUGUCAUCACAGAGCCACAGAGAGACCCUUCAGGUGACAACACAGAGCCACAUAGAAACACUUCAGGUGGCUUCACAGAGCCACAGAGAGACGCUUCAGGUGUCAUCACAGAGCCACAGAGAGGCACUACAGGUGAUAUCACAGAGCCACAUAGAGAACCUUCAGGUGACAUUACAGAGCCACAGAGACACACUUCCUGUGACAUCACAGAGACACAGAGACCAAUUCAGGUGACAUCAAAGAGCCACAGAGACAUCAUUCUGUUGACAUCACAAAGCGACCAAGAUACCAUUCAGGUGACAUCACAGAACCAUAGAGAGACCCUUCUGGUGACUUCACAGAGCCACAGAGAGACCCAACAGUUGACAACCCUUAGCCACAGAGAGACGCUUCAGGUGACAUCACAGAACAACAGAGAUUCCUUUCAGGUGACAUCACAGAGCCACAGAGAGACCCUUCAGUUGACUUCACAGAGCCCCAGAGAGACCCUUCAGGUGUCUUCACACAGCCACAGAGACACUUCAGGUGAUAUCACAGAGCCACAGAGAGACCCUUCUGGUGUCACCACAAAGAUGCAGAGACAUCUUCAGGUGACAUCACAGAACAACAGUGAUACCAUGCAGAUGACAUAACAAUGCCUCCAAGAGACCCUUCAGGUGAAUUCACAGAACAAGAGAGUGAACGUUCUGGUGACAUCACUUAGCGACAGAGCGAUGCGUUAGGUGACAUCACAGAGUCACAGAGACACUUCAGGUGUCAUCACAGAGCCACAGAGAGACACUUAAGGUGACAACACAGAGCCACAGGAGAGACUUCAGGUGACAACACAGAGCAACACAGAGACACUUCAUGUGUCAUCACAGAGCCACAGAGAGACACUUCAGGUGACAACACAGAGCCACAUAGAAACACUUCAGGUGGCUUCACAGAGCCACAGAAGACGCUUCAGGUGUCAUCACAGAGCCACAGAGAGGCACUACAGGUGAUAUCACAGAGCCACAUAGAGAACCUUCAGGUGACAUCACAGAGCCACAGAGACACACUUCCUGUGACAUCACAGAGACACAGAGACCGAUUCAGGUGACAUCAAAGAGCCAAAGAGACAUCAUUCUGUUGACAUCACAAAGCGACCAAGAGACCAUUCAGGUGACAUCACAGAACCAUAGAGAGACCCUUCUGGUGACUUCACAGAGCCACAGAGAGACCCGACACUUGACAACCCUUAGCCACAGAGAGACGCUUCAGGUGACAUCACAGAACAACAAGAAUUCCUUUCAGGUGACAUCACAGAGCCACAGAGAGACCCUUCAGUUGACUUCAAAGAGCCACAGAGAGACCCUUCAUGUGUCUUCACACAGCCACAGAGACACUUCAGGUGACAUCACAGAGCCACAGAGAGACCCUUCUGGUUUCACCACAAAGAUGCAGAGACCCCUUCAGGUGACGUCACAGAACAACAGAGAUACCAUUCAGAUGACAUCACAAAGCCUCCAAGAGACCCUUCAGGUUACAUCACAGAACAAGAGAGUGACCAUUCUGGUGACAUCACUUAGCCACAGAGAGACGCUUCAGGUGACAUCACAGAGACACAGAGACACUUCAGGUGUCAUCACAGAGCCACAGAGAGACGCUUCAGGUGAGAUCACAGAUCAACACAGAGAGAAUUCAGGUGAUAUCACAGAACCACAGAGAUUCCUUUCAGGUGACAACACAGAGCCACAGAGAGACCCUUCAGAUUUCAUCAAUGCCACAGAGAGACACUUCAUGUCUCUUCACAGAGCCAAAGAGAGACCCUUCAGUUGUCAUAACAGAACCCCAGAGAGACACUUCAGGUGACAUCACAGAACCACAGAGAAACACUUCAGGUGUCAUCACAGAGCCACAGAGAGAAUCUUCAUUUGACAUCCCUUAUCCACAGAGUGACACAUCAGGUGACAUCAGAGAACCAACAGAGACACUUCAGGAGUGAUCUUAGAGCCACAGAGAGACACUUCAGGUGUCAUCACAGAGCCAGAGAGACACUUAAGGUGACAUAACAGAGUCACAGAGAUACCAUUCAUGUGACAUCACAGAACCAGAGACAGAUCCUUCUGGUGACAUCACAGAGCCUCAGAGACCUCUUCUGGUGACAUCACAGAGCCACAGAGAGACGCUUCAGGUGUCAACACAGAGACACAGGAUUAAAAUUCAGGUGACAUCACAGAACAACAGAGAGACACUUCAGGUGUCAUCACAGAGCCACAGAGAGACCCUUCAGGUGAUAUCACAGAGCCAUAGAGAGACUUUCAGGUGACAUCACAUAGAAACAGAGACGCUUCAGGUGACAUCACAGAGCCACAGAGAGACCCUUCAGGUGACAUCACAGAGCCACAGAGCGACACUUCAGGUGUCAUCACAGAGCCAUAGAGACCCCUUCAGGUGUCAUCACAGAGCCACAGAGUGACCAUUCAUAUGACACCAGAGAUACACAGAGAGACCAUUCAGGUGACAUCAAAGAGCUACCGAGAGACCCUUCAGGUGUCAUCACAGAGCCACAAAGAGACCAUUCAGGUGUCAUCACAGAGCCACAGUGUGAACCUUCAGAUGCCAUCACAAACCCACUAAGAGACCUUUCAGGUGACAUCACCGAGCCACAUUGAGGCACUUUAGAUGACUUCACAGACCACAGAGAGACACUUCAUGUGUCAUCACAGAGCCACAGAGAGACACUACAGUUGACAUUAAUGAGCCACAGAGAGAUGCUUCAAGUGACAUCACAGAGUCAUAGUGAGACAAUUCAGUAGACACCACAGAGCAACAGAGUUACCCUUCAAGUGACAUCACAGAGCCACAUAUUGACACUUUUGUGACAUCACAGAACCAGAGAGAGAUCCUUUGGUGAUAUCACAGAGCAACAGAGACCCCUUCUGGUGACAUUACAGAGCCACAGAUACACCAUUCAGGUUACACCACGAAUCCAUUAAGAGACAAUUCAGGUGGCAUCACAGAGCCACAUAGAGACCCUUCAGUUGACUUCACUGAGCCACAGAGAGACACUUCAGGUGAUAUCACAGAGCUAUAGAGAGACUUUUUGGUGACAUCACAGAGCCAUAGAGAGACACUUCAGGUGACAUAACAGAGCCAAAGAAAUACCAUUCUUGUGACAUCACAGAACCAGAAACAGAUCCUUCUGGUGACAUCACAGAGCCACAGAGACAUCUUCUGGUGACAUCACAGAGCCACAGAGACAUCAUUCAGGUACCUUCACAAAGCUUCUAAGAGACUUUACCGGUGACAUAACAGAUCCAGAGAGAGAUCCUUCAGGUGACAACACAGAGCCACAGAGAGACGCUUCAGGUGUCAUCACAGAGCCACAGAGAUACAAUUCAGGUGACAUCAAAGAGCCACAGAGACACUUCAGUGGUCAUCACAGAGCCACAGAGAGACACUUCAGGAGACAUAACAGAGCCACAGAAAGACCAUUCAUGUGACAUCCAAGAACCAGAGAGAACCUUCUGGUGACAUCACAGAACCACAGAGACCUAUUCUGGUGACAUCACAGAGCCACAUAGACACCUUUCAGGUGACAUCAGAAAGCCACAGAGAGACCGAUCAGGUGUCAUCACAGAGCCACAGAGAGACCCUUCAGUUGACUUCACAGAGCCCCAGAGAGACCCUUCAGGUGUCUUCACACAGCCACAGAGACACUUCAGGUGAUAUCACAGAGCCACAGAGAGACCCUUCUGGUGUCACCACAAAGAUGCAGAGACAUCUUCAGGUGACAUCACAGAACAACAGUGAUACCAUGCAGAUGACAUAACAAAGCCUCCAAGAGACCCUUCAGGUGAAUUCACAGAACAAGAGAGUGACCGUUCUGGUGACAUCACUUAGCGACAGAGCGAUGCUUUAGGUGACAUCACAGAGUCACAGAGACACUUCAGGUGUCAUCACAGAGCCACAGAGAGACACUUAAGGUGACAACACAGAGCCACAGGAGACACUUCAGGUGACAACACAGAGCAACACAGAGACACUUCAUGUGUCAUCACAGAGCCACAGAGAGACCCUUCAGGUGACAACACAGAGCCACAUAGAAACACUUCAGGUGGCUUCACAGAGCCACAGAGAGACGCUUCAGGUUUCAUCACUGCCACAGAGAGAUACUUCAUUUCUCUUCACAGAGCCAAAGAGAGACCCUUCAGUUAUCAUAACAGAACCCCAGAGAGACACUUCAGGUGACAUCACAGAACCACAGAGAAACACUUCAGGUGUCAUCACAGAGCCACAGAGAGAAUCUUCAUUUGACAUCCCUUAUCCACAGAGUGACACUUCAGGUGACAUCAGAGAACCAACAGAGACACUUCAGGAGUCAUCUCAGAGCCACAGAGACACACUUCAGGUGUCAUCACAGAGCCAGAGAGACACUUCAGGUGACAUAACAGAGUCACAGAGAUACCAUUUAUGUGACAUCACAGAACCAGAGACAGAUCCUUCUGGUGACAUCACAGAGCCUCAGAGACCUCUUCUGGUGACAUCACAGAGCCACAGAGAGACGCUUCAGGUGUCAACACAGAGACACAGGAUUAAAAUUCAGGUGACAUCACAGAGCCACUGAGAGACACUUCAGGUGAUAUCACAGAGCCAUAGAGAGACUUUCAGGUGACAUCACAGAGCCACAGAGAGACACUGCAGGUAACAAAACAGAGCCACAGAAAUACCAUUCUUGUGACAUCACAGAACCAGAGACAGAUCCUUCUGGUGACAUCACAGAGCAACAGAGAGACGCUUCAGGUGUCAUCAAAGAGACACAGAGAUACAAUUCAGGUGACAUUACAGAGCCACAGAGACACUUCAGCUGACUUCACAGAGCCACAGAGAGAUACUUCAGGUGACAUAACAGAGCCACAGAAAUACCAUUCUUGUGACAUCACAGAACCAGAGACAGAUCCUUCUGUUGACAUCACAUAGCCACAGAGAGACACUUCAGGUGAAAUAACAGAGCCACAGAAAUACCAUUCUUGUGACAUCACAGAACCAGAGACAGAUCCUUCUGUUGACAUCACAGAGCCACAGAGACUUCAUUCAGGUAACAUCACAAAGCCUCUAAGAGACUUUACAGGUGACAUAACAGAACCAGAGAGAGAUCCUUCAGGUGACAUCACAGAGCCACAGAGAGACGCUUCAGGUGUCAUCACAGAACCACAGAGAUACAACUCAGGUGACAUCACAGAGCCACAGAGAGACACUUCAGGUGUCAUCACCGAGCCACAGAGAGACACUUCAUGUGACAUAACAAGCCACAGAAAGACCAUUCAGGUGACAUCAAACACCAGAGAGAGAUCCUUCAGGUGACAUCACAGAGCCACAGAGACCUCUUCUGGUGACAUCACAGAGCCACAGAGACACCAUUCAGGUGACAUCACAAAGCUACAGAGAGACCGAUCAGGUGUCAUCACAAAAUCACAGAGAAAGAAUUCAGUUGACAUCACAGAGCCACAGAGAGACCCUUCAGGUGACAUCACAGAGCCACAGAGCGACACUUCAGGUAUCAUCACAGAGCCAUAGAGACCCCUUCAGGUGUCAUCACAGAGCCAAAGAGUGACCAUUCAUGUGACACCAGAGAUACACAGACAGACCAUUCAGGUGACAUCAAAGAGCCACAGAGAGACCAUUCAGGUGUCAUCAAAGAGACACAGAGAUACUAUUCAGGUGACAUCACAGAGCCACAAAGAGACACUUCAGGUGAUAUCACAGAGCCAUAGAGAGACUUUCAGGUGACAUCACAGAGCCACAGAGAGACACUUCAGGUGACAAAACAGAUCCACAGAAAUACCAUUCUUGUGACAUCACAGAACCAGAGACAGAUCCUUCUGGUGACAUCACAGAGCCACAGAGAGACACUUCAGGUGUCAUCACAGAGACACAGAGAUACAAUUCAGGUGACAUCACAGAGCCACAGAGAGACACUUCAGGUGAUAUCACAGAGCCAUAGAGAGAAUUUCAGGUGACAUCACAGAGCCACCGAGAGACAAUUCAAUAACAUAACAGAGCCACAGAAAUACCAUUCAUGUGACAUCACAGAACCAGAGACAGAUCCUUCUGGUGACAUCACAGAGCCACAGAGACAUCUUCUGGUGACAUCACAGAGCCACAGAGACAUCAUUCAGGUAACAUCACAAAGCCUCUAAGAGACUUUACAGGUGACAUAACAGAACCAGAGAGAGAUCCUUCAGGUGACAUCACAGAGCCACAGAGAGACGCUUCAGGUGUCAUCACAGAACCACAGAGAUACAACUCAGGUGACAUCACAGAGCCACAGAGAGACACUUCAGGUGUCAUCACCGAGCCACAGAGAGACACUUCAUGUGACAUAACAAGCCACAGAAAGACCAUUCAGGUGACAUCAAACACCAGAGAGAGAUCCUUCAGGUGACAUCACAGAGCCACAGAGACCUCUUCUGGUGACAUCACAGAGCCACAGAGACACCAUUCAGGUGACAUCACAAAGCUACAGAGAGACCGAUCAGGUGUCAUCACAAAAUCACAGAGAAAGAAUUCAGUUGACAUCACAGAGCCACAGAGAGACCCUUCAGGUGACAUCACAGAGCCACAGAGCGACACUUCAGGUAUCAUCACAGAGCCAUAGAGACCCCUUCAGGUGUCAUCACAGAGCCAAAGAGUGACCAUUCAUGUGACACCAGAGAUACACAGACAGACCAUUCAGGUGACAUCAAAGAGCCACAGAGAGACCAUUCAGGUGUCAUCACAGAGCCACAGAGAGACCUUUCAAGUGUCAUCACAGAGCCACAGUGUGACCCUUCAGGUGCCAUCACAAAGACACUAAGAGAUCCUUAGGUGACAUCGCAGAGCCACAUUGACACACUUCAGGUGACUUCACAGAGCCUCAGAGAGACUCUUCAGGUGUCAUCACAGAGCCACAGAGGGACACUACAGUUGACAUUAAUGAGCCACAGACAGACGCUUCAAGUAACAUCACAGAGCCACAAAAUGACACUUUUUGUGACAUCACAGAACCAGAGAGAGAUCCUUUGGUGAUAUCACAGAGCAACAGAGACCCCUUCUGGUGACAUUACAGAGCCACAAAUACACCAUUCAGGUGACAUCACAAAGCCAUUAAGAGACCAUUCAGGUGGCAUCACAGAGCCACAGAGAGACCCUUCAGGUGUCUUCACACCGACAAAGAGACACUUCGGGUGACAUCACAGAGCCAUAGAGAGACCCUUCUAGUGUCACCACAAAGAUGCAGGGACCCCUUCAGGUGACAUCACAGAACAACAGAGAUACCAUUCAGAUGACAUCACAAAGCCUCCAAGAGACUCUUCAGGUGACAUCACAGAACAAGAGAGUGACCGUUCUGGUGACAUCACUUAGCCACAGAGAGACGCUUCAGGAGACAUCACAUAGACACAGAGACAUUUCAGGUGUCAUCACAGAGCCACAUGAGAGACCCUUCAGGUCAGAUCACAGAUCAACACAGAGACACUUCAGGUGACAUCACAGAACCACAGAGAUUCCUUUCAGGUGACAACACAGAGCAACAGAGAGAACCUUCAGGAUUCAUCACAGCCACAGAGAGACACUUCAGGUGGUUUCACAGAGCCACAGAGAGAUCCUUCAGUUGUCAUCACAGAACCCCAGAGAGACGCUUCAGGUCCCAUCACAGAACCACAGAGAGACACUUCAUGUGUAAUCACAGAGCCACAGAGAGACCCUUCAUUUGACAUCCAUUAUCCACAGAGAAACACUUCAGGUGACAUCAGAGAACCAACAGAGACACUUCAGGAGUCAUCUCAGAGCCACAGAGACACACUUCAGGUGUCAUCACAGAGCCAGAGAGACACUUCAGGUGACAUAACAGAGCCACAGAGAUACCAUUCAUGUGACAUCACAGAACCAGAGACAGAUCCUUCUGGUGACAUCACAGAGCCACAGAGACCUCUUCUCGUGACAUCACAGAGCUACAGAGAGACAGUUCAGGUGUCAUCACAGAGACACAGAGAUACAAUUCAGGUGACAUCACAGAGCCACAGAGAGACACUUCAGGUGAUAUCACAGAGCCAUAGAGAGACUUUCAGGUGUCAUCACAGAGCCACAGAGAGAGACUUAAGAUGACAAAACAGAUCCACAGAAAUACCAUUCUUGUGACAUCACAGAACCAGAGACAGAUCCUUCUGGUGACAUCACAGAGCCACAGAGAGACACUUCAGGUGAUAUCACAGAGCCAUAGAGAGACUUUCAGGUGACAUCACAGAGCCACAGAGAGACACUUCAGGUGACAUCACAGAGCCACAGUGAGACACUUCCGGAGACACCACAGAGCAACAGAGUUACCCUUCAAGUGACAUCACAGAGCCACAAAUUGACACUUUUUGUGACAUCACAGAACCUGAGAGAGAUCCUUUGGUGAUAACACAGAGCAACACAGACCCCUUCUGGUGACAUUACAGAGCCACAGAUACACCAUUCAGGUGACAUCACAAAGCCAUUAAGAGACAGUUCAGGUGGCAUCACAGAGCCACAGAGAGACCCUUCAGGUGACAUCACAGAGCCACAGAGAGACCCUUCACGUGACAUCACAGAGCCACAGAGAGACCCUUCUGGUGUCACCACAAAGAUGCAGAGACACCUUCAGGUGACAUCACAGAUCAACAGAGAUACCAUUCAGAUGACAUCACAAAGCCUCCAAGAGACCCUUCAGGUGACAUCACAGAACAAGAGAGUGACCGUUCUGGUACAUCACUUAGCCACAGAGAGUUGCUUCAGGUGACAUCACAGAGACCCAGAGACUCUUCAGGUGUCAUCACAGAGCCACAGAGAGAUGCUUCAGGUGAGAUCACAGAUCAACACAGAGACAUUUCAGGUGUCAUCACAGAGCCACAGAGAGACACUUAAGGUGACAACACAGAGCCACAGGAGACACUUCAGGUGACAUCACAGAGCAACACAGAGACACUUCAUGUGUCAUCACAGAGCCACAGAGAGACCCUUCAGG
rnacentral:lncRNA from 1 species